rnacentral:sRNA from 1 species
GCACUGGCAAAAUCCAGUGUCGGGAUUGAGACCCCGUUUUACAACAGCGGCCUAGAACACGCUCCGCGUGUUUUUU